CAUACAAAAUUGCAGUGAGAGCCAGCAGAAGCUGUUGGAUCCAAUUCUACCAUUAAGCAGUAAAAUCAUCACCUCCGUCUGCAGGCAUUUGGCCAUCUUUCCAAACAAGGAUUUAUAGUUAUGAGAGGUCAACAUCAACAUCAACCUCUGAUGCUUGUCUUGAACUACCCUGUCUACCUCUUCAGAUGCCACAGACUCAAAAGAAUGCUGGAUGAAAUCACAGGAUGCUGUCACAGUGAUCUCUGUGAUAGAGAUGUGAGAUAUAAUAAUAGAGAUUUCUAAGCCACCGCUGUCCAACAAUUCCAGUAAGAUUGAAAGGGAAGAUUAAAACAAUAUAUGAAAUCCAACCCACAAAAGAAUUUAGAAGUUAAAGGGCAUUUUUGCAUGAGCCCCCCUGAAAUAUUUUAAACCUAAGUGGCACAAAUCUGAUGGCAUGACUUCUUAGUGCACAGUUCUCGGCAUACAAAAGAACUACAAAGGAGCACAAAAUAGAACAAAAAUAAAGAUGGGGUAGAAAGAAGGGCAGUCUCCUUAAACUUUUGCAUCAAGAUGUUUUAUUGCAUCAAGGUACUCAUCUCCAUUUCAAAGCCAAAGAAUCAGCACUGUCCGAAGACGUCUCCGUGGUCAUGUAGCUGGCAUGACUAAAUGCUGAAGGUGCAUGGAACACUGUUACCUUCCCACCAAAGGUGUUCCUAUUCUUCUGCUUGAAUUUUUACAUGCUUUCAAACUGCUAAGUUGGCAGAUGCUAGGACAAGUAAUGGGAGCUCACUCCGUUACGCAGCGCUAGGGAUUCGAACCGCUGAACUGCCGACCUUUCUGAUUGACAAGCUCAGCAUCUUAGCUACUGAGUCACCACAUCCCCUUAAUAAACUGACUAAAUUGGAUGGAUUUGCAUCUCUCUCAAAAAAAACAAAAAACCUCAACAAGGUUAUCACCAAUCAAGCUUGAAAGUUGUGCAGUAGCCAGUAGAUUCUUAAGUAGAUUGUGUGAACAUAGCUCAUGUAUAGCUUUCUCCAAUCAGAAACUCAUUCAGAGUUUUUAAAGAUUGAAUUGCCAGAAUUCCUACUCCUAAUUCAAUUUUAAGGGCACUUGGUUGGCAAAGCUACCAUAAGGCAAUAUCUUGGCAAUCAGUAAUUAGUUUUUUAUUGCCACCCACUCACUGAUCUAUCUCUACACUCCUUUUGGAGUUUUGAAGAAAUCGCUUCUACUUACCCAAUAACUUGAUGCUCAUAAUGUUGUAGUGUCCUCUGGAGAGUCUGCCUUAUGGUCUGUGGCUAUAGAAUAAACAAAGAAAUAAUAAUAAAAAUGUUAUCAGCAGUUUGUCAGUCAGCCUAGCUCUCAGCAUGGUGCCUGAAUAGAGGUGACUACUGAUAUUAUUGCUUAAUCUAAUGUAUAUUUUUCCAAUUACAUAUUCUUUUCCUCCCCUCGCACAUCUGCUGUGCCUCCUCCAGAGAAAUGUGAAGAAAGCUGCCCAGAAGUAGCAAGCUGUUUUUGUUCAACAAACACAUCAAUAUUUCAAGACUCUUCCUGAUAUUUUAGUCCUCUGUUAAAUCGGCAGUAGCUUCUUUAGCAUCCGUGUAACCCAAUACAAAAAGCUGCAAAAGGAAAACAUGAUGUGUACAGAAUAGUAUGUUAAUCACUUGGGGCCAAACGUAUACAUCUCACCGCACAUUUGCUCCCAACUAGUCUCUCAAGACUGCUCUCAGGGCUGAAAGUUACUUCUGUAUUAUUUGCAGUGACAUAGAAUCAUAGAAUAACAGAGUUGGAAGGGACCUUGGAGGCCUUCUAGUACAACCCCCUGC